rnacentral:rRNA from 1 species
AGUGAACGCUGGCGGUAGGCCUAACACAUGCAAGUCGAACGGCAGCACAGUAAGAGCUUGCUCUUACGGGUGGCGAGUGGCGGACGGGUGAGGAAUACAUCGGAAUCUACUUUUUCGUGGGGGAUAACGUAGGGAAACUUACGCUAAUACCGCAUACGACCUAAGGGUGAAAGCAGGGGAUCUUCGGACCUUUCGCGAUUGAAUGAGCCGAUGUCGGAUUAGCUAGUUGGCGGGGUAAAGGCCCACCAAGGCGACGAUCCGUAGCUGGUCUGGGAGGAUGGUCAGCCAAACUGGAACGGAGACACGGUCCAGGCUCCUACGGGAGGCAGCAGUGGGGAAUAUUGGACAAUGGGCGCAAGCCUGAUCCAGCCAUACCGCGUGGGUGAAGAAGGCCUUCGGGUUGUAAAGCCCUUUUGUUGGGAAAGAAAAGCAGCAGGUUAAUACCCCGCUGUUCUGACGGUACCCAAAGAAUAAGCACCGGCUAACUUCGUG